UAGGGUUUCAGGUGCACCAAAUUUAGUCCAGGAUAGCCGAUUUCCUGCAGGUUCCUAGGACCCCCUAUUUUCCUGCUAAGUAGCCAGCAGGAAGGGACAGGCAGCUGUUUGUACCCGCAGUGCUGAUAUCCUGGAAUGUCUCAGCUUUGUACCUGCUCUGCAUUUCCACCUGAACACACCUUUCCUCUCCUGGUAAAAGAGGAAAUUCUGCCCCGUCCCUGCCGUGGGUGUCUGAACUCAUGGGGGAUCAGGCCAGCCUGCCUUCUGCUUACAGGAACACAGAGGAUCAAGAUAAGCUGACUGCUUUUCUGUACCAUCUCCUGUUCAGACAUCCUCCUCCCAGCCUAUGGAGGUCUUACAGAAAAACUGCUACGAGAACAUCAUGAAGAUAUUCCUGCUGGUAUUCCACAGGGCUUGGGCCAGAUCAGCUUUCUGACAGGCCAACGAAAACUGGGUGAUAGAACAGAGAGAGCUGCAAGUUUGUCCGAGGAAUGAAGUUUUCCAGCACAUGAGGGAGCUUGGUGGUGUUUACCAUCAGGAGAAGAUUGGAGGCCAGUUGGACACAAGGAGUUCAGUGUCACAAGAUGAUGGAGAACUGAGCACCAUUUAUGGAGACUCUGAAAGGAAUAAACAGGAAAGCAAACGUCAGAGAGGGAAGGAAUUUGCCUUCAAAUGGAUGGCCUCCAAGGGCAUCUGCUCACAGUCUAACCACGAUAAUGAUUUAUUGUCUGCUUUGGGCUGACUUUAACCUUACUUGACUGCCAAAUGCAGAGUAUAGGCCUGCCUUGCCCUGGGGAGCUCACAGUACAAAAUACAGACUCAGAGGAGAGAUGACAAGUGGGGAACAAGCAUAGGAAAGGAGAUGAUUUUGCCAGGUAUGGAUUUUGUCAGCACUGGGAGGAAUCUUGCUCUCUUCAAACCAAAAGUGGCUUGUAAACUGAUUCUUGGUGGUCUUCAGCAAGUUAUAAGCAAACUGCUCUCAAGUUCAAAUGAGUGGGAUCAUGCAAAAGGCUUCAUCCCUCCAUCCUUGUGGACUUAAAACCACGCUUAAAGGUAGAGUGCCAUUUUCUUGAGCUGUCUUGGGCAUUAAAAAUAAUUCAUUAAUGUACUGUGACUACUGUCUAAGAUAUAGGAAUUCCUCCAAUAUACAUGUUCAUAUCAGCAGUAAAAAUCACCUGCUGUGCACCCAUGCACCAUGUGAGCACUUCUGACAGGUACUUGGAUACCUUCUUGGAAGGGAAAUGUGGCAGGACACUGUUAUUGGAAAGGGACGGUAAUCCGGAUCGCCUCGGCAAGGAUAUGAGGAUAGAUACGUGUACUGGCCUCUCUCUGUGCUUAGUUAACCUCUUUGUGGCCAUUGCUGCAACAAAUCCUGCAGCUUGGCUUUGGAAACCUGGGGGAAUGAGGCAAUGCUGAGAGAAGGGCGAACUGAGACAGACAUGGAGGUAUUGUUUUGUUUGGUGUGGGAGCCUGAGCUGGGGAUGUUGCUUGGGUUUUCUUCCCUCUCAUCUUCACCCCCCAACUUUCUUGCAUGACCCUGUGUUCUACUGCAUCAUUUUUUGCAACUUGUCUUGAGAGCUGUAAGACACAGAAGGACUUUUUGUUGACAGCUGUGCCCCUGAUGUUCUUCUGUGCCAGGCCAGGAGCCUCAGUGGCAGAAGAUGAUAUCACUUCAAGGGGACGGUGCAUGGCUAACACCCCCUUCCAGUGAUGCUCACCCAGGAACACUGCCUCUUCUGUGCAUAACCCUGAAAAAUGGAGACUACUGGAAGCGAGCUGGGAGCACGAGGGGAUCCCCGUGAUAGCUGCACCUCAGAAGAAGCCUUGAGGCCAAAGAUGGUCACCAGCUCCAGUGCCUGGCAAAAAUCUCACCAUCUGAAAAUGCUUUUGGGAAUUCUCCCUCCAUGUGAAGCCAGUAAGCCUUCAGUAUCUCUGGACUUGGACUCCAGAGUGUGUUUGAACAUGACCCCAAAUUUUGAAUCCAACCUCAGAAUCAGUCUGGCUCUCAGUCAAGAGGAGCAUUUUUGCAGCCAAUUUCUGCUCAGUUCUGUGACCUACAUCCAGUUCUCAGCAACCUUGGAGUGAGAUCUGAAGUUACACCAUGGACACUGGGAGUCCGACCCCAGGUACACAUGGCAGAGCCUGACAUCAGAAUUUGACUGAGCUCCUCAGUGUUUAUCACAAUCCCUCCUAUUUAAAAGCCUUUCUGCCCCUACCUUCUGGACGCUCAUCAGGGGGUGUCUUUGCAAACAGAAUUUAUGUACUGUGGCCAGAUUUAAGCCUCUGGUUCUUUAUUCCCUCAUAUUUACUUAUGAGCUGGAACUCCAGCAGGCUGUGAUGAGGGAACUUGCUCCCAAUUACAAACACGCCAGUGCCCUCUUACGUGAGAAGCCUGCACUGCUGGCUGCCGGGGAUGUCCUGCAAGACUUUCUGGGGUCCUCUGUCUCUUCUAGGCCUGGUUGUUCUCGUUCCUUGUUCAGUGCUCACAUUCCUCUUUGUCUCUGAUGUUCUGAAAUGAGAAGAGUUAAUCUCUGUGCUCGCUGCAGGGAUGGGUUCUGGCAGAUGACAGCUCAGCUAGGCCGGUGCUUGAAGUGCAGAGCGGUUCUACAGUUUGAGAGGGAUGUAGAGUAAAACUGCAUGAAAAAUUGCUUUUUCUGUUUCCUGGCUCACUGAGAAUUUAGGAAAGAAUAUUUACUUUGAGUUGAGCCAAAGCAACAGGAGAAAAUUAAACAUGCUGUUUUAGGUUAGGGUUCUUCCCCAUUUUUUAAUUAAGAUUCAGUAGAUAGACUCCCAAAUGGAAUGCCGCUUCAAACUGAAACACCAAAACACGCUAUUUUGCAAAUAAAUUAACAUUUUGCACUUUAAAGAAAGAGAUUUUCAUCCUGAUUUCUAAAGCAAUGGGAUGAAUUCACGGCAGGCAAUUUCAGCAGAUACAAAUCGCCCUUGUUCGGUGCGGACAACGUUUUGCCAGCAAAGGCCUGCAGUUCAGUGCAAAGGCAGGGUGGGCUGGGGUCAGAAUCACCGGGCAAGCAGAAAAACAACCCCAGGCAGAUGAGCAAGUCAGAGUAUGUCAGGAUAUUGAGACAAUGAACCAAGUUGUGUGUUCUUGGGAAAUGGUUGCAGCCCUCCAAGGUGGCUCGGUGUGGGCAGCAAAGCUGUUCCUUAUGAGAGAAAUGUUUUGCUGAUAGAAGCUGUGAGUUGGAAUGCCAGCAGUCUGCCCAGGGAAGGGGAAAUUUUUGCUUUCCCCUUCUGGAGUCCUGCAGCCAUACAGUAAUGGUAAGCAGGUAGUUUGCAGAGUUUGCCUUAAAUUUGCUGAGCCCUUGCAGCUUCACUGCACUCUUGCUCCAUCCCCACCCUGGAAGAAAUAACCUGGCCCUGUGCUCUGCUCUCUGCCUCCAUCCCUUCUGCCUCCAUCCCUUCUCUUCAUCAACACUGUGGGUUCUGCUGUGGGUGGGCAGAUCUUAUCUUUUCCUCUCCUUGACUAUAACUCUUGCAGCUCCAACGUGGCAGAAAAAUUGGUUGUUCUCAUGUUGUGUGUGGUUGGUGUGUUUGCUUGCUUUUGUUUGUUUGUUUUUCUUUUGUGGGUUUUUAAAAAAGUGGCUCAUGCACAUCUCUGUUAUUCCAUCCUUCCUCUGCGAGCCCAUGUCCUUGUGCAGAACAUGCUGCUACAGGGCUGGGGACUCAAAACCACAGAUGAGAGUAGGAAAUGAAUGUAUAAAUCAGAGCAUUACCACGGCGCCCGCUAGCAGUGCCAUACCAGACAGAGGACACUGCCUGUCGUUGUCUCGCCCAUAAACCCCUUUGGAAGGGGUUUGGGUUACCAUUUGCCAUUUUGGCUUGGCCCCUGGCUCUACCUCUGCAGAAAGCUUGGCUGAGCGGCACUGCAGAAUCUGAGAGGGAGAAAGCCCAGUAGGUUUGAUGGCUGCAAGACGAUACUCCUCCCUGCUCUCUUUCUGUUGUUUUACAGCUCCUCCAAGUAAGAAGUACACAGGAGAAAAAAUCAAUUGGUUUCAUUUAAUAUAGUGGGGUUUCUAAACAAUCGGUCAAGCUGCAAAGCGGAUCAAUCACUUCGGCCUCUUGACAGAGGGAAUACUAAAUCAAAUAUUGAUCCACUCCCCCUGCACCCAAACUCCCUUUGCUAACAAAUUAUUUCUCAUUAAAGAUAGCCUGGACCAAGUACACUCACACUUGCAAAAUCAGUUUUUGUCCAGCACAUGGAGUGACAACUUUUCUUUUAUUCCUGAGCAAGAAAUUUCAUGCAUCUCCAGUGGGCUUUGGCUUGGCCAGGAGAGCCCCAUGUGUCGGCUGCAGCGAGCGGAGCAAGCAUGGAAUGAUUUUGUCUAAAUGGCCCACGAUCUAAUGGUCUGUGAAGCCUCUGGCACCAAGAAGCAGUGAGUUCAGAUCCGUGCUGGGCCAGUACAAGAGCACUGGGCAGCCACUGGGAACAGAGCGAGUGGGCUCAGGCCAGCGGGCAAACAGCAAAUGUGCCCAGUCCAAAAACUGCUUCAUGACUGGGAAGUUUUCUUGUUUGCUGGUGGCCUUGGCAAAGCUGCCCUGUUUUGGAUGGGCUCUAAGGAGCAGAUUAUGUCAGCUUUCUUGCAAGGGGCCCCUUCUGGCCCUACAUGGAGAAAAGGGCAUGUAGCAAGAGCUUUGUUAAAGGGUGCUGUGUCCCAGUGCAUUGCUGGGAACAGGGGCAGAGGAGAGAAAGCAAACAGCAUCUGCUCCUCUGCCUGUGCCCUGAGCCAGCAGGACACAAGGUGCUCGGUCCCCUGUGAACAAGAGGAUGGGUUGCAGGGUGCAGAGAUGCUAAGCCACAGAGACGCUGCAGGAUCAGGCCUAGGCUGACCUAGGGUGCAGUGCCCUGCUCUGUGACGGAUGUCUCAGCCCUCUGUGGGCUGGGUUCAGACUGAACAUUGCUGUAACUUCGUCUUUGUCGGUUUAAUUUUCUAAUAACAUAUUUAACCGAGCAAUGCAGCCAGACUGGAGCCAUAACCCAGAACAGCAGUUGGCAUGAAAAACUCUACUGUAUUUCUGACACUAGGGUCUUUUAUAGCCAGGGUAUGAUGGUUUCAGCACCAGUGCAAUUGCAAGCAAGUAUUAAAUAUCCCAAUUAGCACAAUUCACAGUUAUCGACAACACUAUUUUCCUUCCAACAUUCCCCAAGGACAAGAAAAUGCUCUGUGCAAAUCUGAAAGCUUUGGAACGAGGAGGCGUUCACCAGUGGGAUGCUGCAGCCUUCACCAUGGGGAGCUUCAGAGAUGAUUUGGAGCUGGGCAGAAGCAACACAUUGGCUUUGUUAGGCAGCCAAGGGCAAAUAGACUCAACAGCCCUAAUCCCUCAUCUGAGAGGGGCAUGUGUAGCAACAGGUAAUGAAACUAAUGGCAUUUGUUGGACUCUCAAACAGCAGUGAAGAAAUGAGAAGACAGCAGGCCUGAAGGAGAGAGAUUCGCUUCAGCAUCUGCACAAGCCUCCAAACACAGGCAUUUAGUUUGCAUUUCCACCUGCUUUGUGAAGGUGGAAAUGAGAAGAGGAAAGACUUUGUAGUCAUGACAUGUUCAAGGGAGAAUUGUAAUAUUAAAACAAUGCCUCCAGGUUAGACUGUGAGUCCAGGUGGGUGUCUGGCUGUGCACUUGAGGUUCGUGUCCCUGCCAAAGCUGCACUUUGUGACUGCUCCCCAUGCAGCUACAUAAAAACGUUUGCUCAAGCCCAUUUCA